rnacentral:rRNA from 1 species
CCUACGGGCGGCAGCAGUGGGGAAUAUUUGGCAAUGGGCGCAAGCCUGACCCAGCAACGCCGCGUGCAGGAAGAAGGUUUUCGGGUUGUAAACUUCUUUUCUCAGGGACGAAUCAAGUGACGGUACCUGAGGAAUAAGCCACGGCUAACUACAUGCCAGCAGCCGCGGUAAUACGUAGGUGGCAAGCGUUAUCGGGAUUUACUGGGUGUAAAGGGCGUGUAUGCGGGGACGCAAGUCAGAUGUGAAAACCACGGGCUCAACCUGUGGCCUGCAUUUUAAACUGUGUUUCUUGAGUACUGGAGAGGCAGACGGAAUUUCUAGUGUAGCGGUGAAAUGCGUAGAUAUUAGGAGGAACACCAGUGGCGAAGGCGGUCUGCUGGACAGCAACUGACGCUGAGGCGCGAAAGCGUGGGGAGCAAACAGGAUUAGAUACCCCAGUAGUC